rnacentral:lncRNA from 1 species
CUCUAGAAUAUGCUUGUUCUAAUCAAGAUGAUGUCAAACUGUAAUAGAUUUUACUUAGUUGCUUGCCAUUUUCCUCGUUUGUCUUUUAAAUACCAACUUGACCAACCUGAUCAAGUCAGUGGGCAGUGUUAAGGUUUCUAUGCAGAAGAUGGGGAACACCAAGAGGGCUGCAGAAUGAAAACCAAAGUCCUCCCUGAAAUUUGCUACUUGCUCGUAACUCACAGAAAGACAAAAAUUACAAAUAAAACAUUAAAAAUAAAAAUCAAGAGAGACUCGUGAAACCAACACAAGACAAAACCCUCACCGGGCAAAAGCUGCAACUUCAUGGAAAAUAAGUUGGAGGUGGGGGGGACGAGGGGGGUCCGGAGCUGAGCGGGGCUCUUGUGCAAUCACUCCAAGGCGAACAGCUGGAGCGCCAAGCUGCCGCGCUCGCCACCUCUGGAGCACCGCUGGCCUGGCGGGGAGCCCGGCCUCGCCAACACGACUCCGGGCCGGCCUUUCCGAACAAUGGGCAGGCGCUCUGCGAAGGCCGCCCCUCAGACAGCUAUCUUUUCAGCAGGGCUUGCCCGGGUCUGCUUAAACUGGGAAGUGAAGCAUGCAAAGGCUGAGAGGGAGGCGGAGGCAACCGAGAGGAGCAAGCAGGGACAGGCGAGGCGAGCCGGCCGUCAAAAACGGAGACCGAGGCUGAGCUCAAGAUCACACUAGGAAAUGACUGAUCCAGAAAAACGUCUUCAGUUGGCCAACUUCCAGACAGGUGAGGUCUGCUGCCACCUACUCCAUACUCUGCUCUUCUCUGCUCAGCGCUUCUAUCACUUUUUCUGGGGAAAAGAGAAUAUGCAGAUACAGUAAAUAAUCCUAACUUCUACUUUAUUCUGAUUUACACCUGGAUGUUAUCGGAAUUAAAAUAUCCAUGACCAGUACUCAACCUCUCAAAAAUGACAUACUACACUGUAAUAUUCUCAAACCAAAUAUGGUAUUCAGUGAAUGGUUACAGAGAAUUGAUAUCUAUGUUUUGACCCACCUCCUUUGAGAAACAUUACAUGUUGUAAGAAACAUUUUUCUUUCACAGAAAAAUUGUCUCCAACGUGCUGUUGAGCCAUAAGUUAUGUCUUUAUUACAUCCCAGAGGGAAGAAGUUGAGUGGAAAAGAUUCCACAGUUUAACUAUGAGAGGACGUUACACAUUUCAGUGGAAGAAAAAAAUUUUCAUCAAAAGCUAAGUAGAUAAAUUAAAGAUGCUAUAAUAAGUCUUGGGAUAUAGGCUGUGCAUUUGUUUUGCUUUGUUUUUAAAAUCAAUUAAAGAUACUAAAUCUGUAUACCAGAUGCUGAAGUAGGACUCACUCAACUCAGUUUUGCCUUUCCCAUCUGAAGUCAGUCAGUCUUUAGGGUAGCUGAUUGCUUUUGGAGUCUGGAGGUGAGGGAGAGCUGGCAGGGACAGACGGAAGAGAAGAGAGAAGAUCCAGGGACAGUGACUGCAGACUCCCUGAGGAAGUCUCGGGAUGUACAAUAUGGGAAAGUGCCAAAAUCCUAAGCUAGAAAACAAAGCAAAACCAAACCAAACCCCAGCAUGGGGAAAUAAAAGGAAGUUCUACACUGAACAGAGUGCACAGAAGCAUCUCUUUAUGUGAAGAGCAGUAGAGUUUUGUGGCCUGAACACACAAUUACAUAGAAUUUAGUAAUACAAAAGCUACUAUUUAUUGAAUGCUUUUUAACAAAUAGGACUUUAAUAAGUAGUACUGUGCUUAAUAUCUUACAGAGAUUAUUUUAUUCGAUCCUCACACAGUUGACACAAUUAUAGACUGUGUUCCAUUUUGCAGAUGAGGAAAUGGAAACAUUAAUCAGUUGCCUACUAAGUGGGCCAACAAUCUGACUGGAAUCUAGAAUUCUUCCUCCCCCUUGCAAUAUCAAUGGUUUUGAUGAGGGUUCUUGCUUGCAAGCAACAAAAUGAACUCUGGUUAUCUAAAGGAAACAAAAAUGUUGAAGGAAAGGGGGCUCAUAGACUCUGAGAGGCUGGAAGAACAGGCUUAGGAAACAAGGAAGAACCCAGGGCCUAAGGAGGCCAGGCCAUAGGAACACUCUAUCCAAGAUGACACCAUCUCUGCUUCUGCUGCACCACACCUUCUAGAAAUGACUACUGGACAUCAUGCU